rnacentral:rRNA from 1 species
GACGAACCGUGCGAACGUUGUUCGGAUUCACUGGGCUUAAAGGGCGCGUAGGCGGGCCAGCAUGUCCGGGGUGAAAUCUUUCGGCUUAACCGGAAAAGGGCUUCGGAAACGGCUGGUCUUGAGGGAGGUAGGGGCAGGUGGAACUUCCGGGUGGAGCGGUGAAAUGCGUUGAGAUCGGAAGGAACGCCGGUGGCGAAAGCGAACCUGCUGGACCUCUUCUGACGCUGAGGCGCGAAAGCCAGGGGAGCAAACGGG